rnacentral:rRNA from 1 species
GAUGAACGCUAGCGAUAGGCCUAACACAUGCAAGUCGAGGGGCAUCACAUGAAGUAGCAAUACGGAUGGUGGCGACCGGCGCACGGGUGAGUAACACGUAUGCAACCUGCCUUCAACAAGGGGAUAACCCGUUGAAAGACGGACUAAUACCCUAUAACACAGGGGUCCCGCAUGGGGAUAUUUGUUAAAGGACAACCGGUUGAAGAUGGGCAUGCGUUCCAUUAGCUAGUUGGCGGGGUAAGGGCCCACCAAGGCAACGAUGGAUAGGGGAACUGAGAGGUUUAUCCCCCACACUGGUACUGAGACACGGACCAGACUCCUACGGGAGGCAGCAGUGAGGAAUAUUGGUCAAUGGACGCAAGUCUGAACCAGCCACGUCGCGUGAAGGAAGACGGCCCUACGGGUUGUAAACUUCUUUUAUACGGGAAUAAAGUGCCCCACGCGUGGGGUUUUGCAUGUACCGUAUGAAUAAGGAUCGGCUAACUCCGUG